AGAGUUUGAUCCUGGCUCAGGAUUAACGCUGGCGGCGUGCCUAAUACAUGCAAGUCGAGCGGAAAGGCUCCUGCAAAGGUUUGAAACCUUUGCCAUGAUCUGUUUACCAUUCACUGUUCACCAUGCAUUAUCAAUAAGCCAUUUACCAUGUUCUGACGGUAAAAGGAUAACGGUAAACAUGCGGAAAACGGUAAAAGGAUAACGGUUAAUGACAAAAACUUUUCAAGUUUUUGCUGGAGUACUCGAGCGGCGGACGGCAGAGUAACGCGUAGGAACGUACCCCGAAGUGAGGGAUAAGCCCGGGAAACCGGGUCUAAUACCGCAUGAUCUCUUAGGAGCAAAGCUUUCGCGCUUUGGGAGCGGCCUGCGUCCGAUUAGCUUGUUGGUGUGGUAAAAGCGCACCAAGGCGACGAUCGGUAGCUGGUCUGAGAGGAUGAUCAGCCUGACUGGAACUGAGAACGGUCCAGACUCCUACGGGAGGCAGCAGUAGGGAAUUUUCCACAAUGGGCGAAAGCCUGAUGGAGCAACGCCGCGUGCAGGAGGAAGGCCUUCGGGUUGUAAACUGCUUUUGUCUGUGACGAUUUUGACGGUAGCAGAAGAAUAAGGAUCGGCUAACUCCGUGCCAGCAGCCGCGGUCAGACGGAGGAUCCAAGCGUUAUCCGGAAUUACUGGGCGUAAAGAGUUGCGUAGGUGGCAGGCCAAGUUUCUGUUUAAAUACCAAGGCUCAACCUUGGUACGUGCAGGAAAACUGGUCAGCUAGAGCAUAGUAGAGGUAACUGGAAUUUCUAGUGUAGGAGUGAAAUCCGUAGAUAUUAGAAAGGAACACCGAUGGCGUAGGCAGGUUACUGGGCUAUUGCUGACACUAAGGCACGAAAGCGUGGGGAGCGAAUGGGAUUAGAUACCCCAGUAGUCCACGCCCUAAACGAUGCUUGCUAGCUGUUAUCCGUAUCGACCCGGGUAGUAGCGAAGCUAACGCGUUAAGCAAGCCGCCUGUGUAGUACGAGCGCAAGCUUAAAACAUAAAGGAAUUGACGGGGACCCGCACAAGCGGUGGAGCGUGUUGUUUAAUUCGAUGAUAAGCGAAGAACCUUACCAAGGUUUGACAUCCUGGGAAUCUUUCCGAAAGGAAAGAGUGCCUUUUUGGAAUCCAGUGACAGGCGUUGCAUGGCCGUCGUCAGCUCGUGUCGUGAGAUGAUUGGUUAAGUCCAUCAACGAGCGCAACCCUUUUAGUUAGUUGAAUUGUCUAGCUAGACUGCCCCGGUAACGGGGAGGAAGGAGGGGAUGAUGUCAGGUCAGUAUUACCCUUACACCUUGGGCUACAAACACGCUACAAUGGCCGGUACAAAGGGCAGCCAAGCAGCAAUGCGGAGCAAAUCCCAUCAAAGCCGGUCUCAGUUCGGAUAGCAGGCUGAAACUCGCCUGCUUGAAGCCGGAAUCGCUAGUAACGGUGAGUCAGCUAUAUUACCGUGAAUACGUUCCCGGGUCUUGUACACACCGCCCGUC
rnacentral:rRNA from 1 species